GUAACUGAAAUCUCUAGAUAUUCUUAUAGGGUUGAUAGAGAUAAGGCAGUGAAAAUAAUGAUAUUAACUGAGUUGUCUUUGUUUUGGAAGACCCAUCCUUAUAGUGCUGUCCAAUGCUCGUGCCAGAAGACUCGGUAACGCGAGUAGCGCAAACGUUAAUCGUCUUAUUCAGGCGUAAAGGGUGUGUAGGCUGUCUCGAACCACUUUUUUCUUAGUUAGCUCUUAUGGUUUUAAUUUAAAACUUUAGAGAGAAAUUAUGUUUAGUAGAGUCUAGAAUCAGAUCGGGGAUGAUCAAAAUAAUACUUAAUUAAGGGCCUAUAUCCGGAGAGAUUAAGGGGAAUACUAAUUGGUGAAAGCUUUUUAUCUAAAACUGAUUGACGCUGAGACACGAAGGUAGGAAUAGGAAAUAGGAUUUGAUACCCAGAUACCUCCUACUGUCAACGAUGAAUGGUGGCUGUUAGUUUAACCACUGGUGGCGAUGUUAACGCGAUAACCAUUCCGCCUUGCGAGUACGGUUGCAAAACUGAAAUCAAAAAAAUUAGUCGGUCUCGGAGCAAAC
rnacentral:rRNA from 1 species